UACGGAGGGGGCUAGCUAUUGAUUGAUCUGGGCGUAAAGCGUACGUAGGCGGCUUUGUAAGUUAGAGGUGAAAGCCCGGGCUCAACCUCGGAAUUGCCUUUAAGACUGCAUCGCUUGAAUUGUGUGAGAGGUAGUGGAAUUCCGAGUGUAGAGGUGAAAUUCGUAGAUAUUCGGAAGAACACCAGUGGCGAAGGCGACUACUGGAC
rnacentral:rRNA from 1 species